rnacentral:rRNA from 1 species
UACGUAGGGUGCGAGCGUUAAUCGGAUUUACUGGGCGUAAAGCGUGCGCAGGCGGCCCGUUAAGACAGGUGUGAAAUCCCUGGGCUCAACCUAGGAAUUGCGCUUGUGACUGGCGGGCUCGAGUACGGUAGAGGGGGGUAGAAUUCCAGGUGUAGCGGUGAAAUGCGUAGAGAUCAGGAGGAACACCGAUGGCGAAGGCAGCCCCCUGGGCCUGUACUGACGCUCAUGCACGAAAGCGUGGGGAGCAAACAGG